AGAAGGACACAUCAACGCUUAAGCUUCAGAAUUUCAGCUCCUCUGACUCUUGAGUUUCAUCUUGGGUAAAAGGACGCUGACAGAUAUGAAGAUCUUUAUCUUUGCCCUCAUCAUGGCUCUCAUGGUUAUCAUGGCUAGUGCUGAUGCAUUUGACGGGGCUAACUACUUCCCCAAUCCGCCAGGGGCACAAUAUUCAUCAUUCGCAACAUAUAGUGACAACCAACCAUCCUCUGGGUUUCGAUUUCCUUUCUUCAGUAAUUAGUAACCACAGGACAUGAUGACAGAGAAGCUGCACAAGGGCCAUCUGGGAAUCUGCCUCAAAUUUCACAUGCUUGGCGGGAAGUCCUACUUGCUCUCUUUCUCCUGACGAAUCUUCCUACUCGAAACUUCUUUAACCCAUCUACUAACACCUUUUUAGCCUUCCAUAUAAUAAACACAUCCAAAGUACUUUGAAAUCAUGUUUCAAAACAAUUCAAAGGAGUGCAGUAUUAUUGGUAUUAUGUUCUGCAUUACAUUUUCAGAUAAUUUGACCCAUCAAAAAUUUCCAGCCUUUCAAAAAUGAAAAAGAAAAUCCAAUCAACUAGUGUUACAUGAACAACACACCUGAAAUCAAUAACCAAUAGUGUUACAAUAAUAGUACUGGUAUUUCCUGAACUAUUUGAUUUCUUCUUCUUUGUUCUCUGUGUUAACUGCAUUAUAAAAAUUAAAAAAAAAACAAAA